GGUUGGAGGGAGGCAAGGGAAGGUGGAAAAGAUGUAAUUAUAAUGUCUUAAUUUCAAAACAGUAAAGAACUUGCUCAAAAAUUUACAGGAAGUAAUAGAACCAGGAGUCUUUUUUUUUGAGUAUCUGUGUCCUCAAUUUUAAUACAUCGUUAUCAUUGAGUACAUAGAAAAAUGCAUGCCAUGAAGAGAACUUUAGCUAAUCAGAAAAAACUAUAAUUCAGACAUGUUUGUGUUCAAAUAAAGUUGUAUAUCGUGAAGUUAAGACACUGAUUAAGUCUGAAAGAACAUUAUAGUUGAAUAGUCAGUGAAACCUAAAUAUGCCUUGAUAGAAAAUUCUACCACAGCUUCCCUUUUUUAUGCCUCUGUAGAUGUUUUGAAAGCAGUAUCUGUACAAAGUAAUUAAAUAAGAAAUGAGACUGCAAGGGGGCUUGUCAUUAUUUCUACUGACAGUGUUGGUGAGUUUUCAGGAGUCCAUAUACUAAGUAUCUGGUGCAACUAAUACAAGAGAUUAGGAGCUAAGGAUCACAGCUGGAGUGCAGUCUCAGUUCUGUACACAAGAUUAUCCCCAACCUUUGAGGGGAGAAGCUUGAUGAAGGCACCCCAUUUCAGAAGGAAUGCUCCAACACCUCUCACUCUGCAUCUUGUCCGUUUUGGGUCUCUGUGAUAAUUCCCAUCUAUUGCAAAUUAAAGAUAAUGACAUUGUU